UUUAAUUCAGAUUAUGGAAAAGUCUUAAGUUUGUAUAGCAUCCAUGCAAUUUAGUAACAAAGAAGUGAGUUUCCUUAUCAAAACAAUCUGAGUAGAAUCAGAUUGUUUUGAGACUGAAUGGAAACAUCAUCUCUAAAAAAUGUACAGGCCGGGCAUGGUGGCUUACAUCUGUAAUCCCAGCAUUUUGGGAGGCCAAGGCGGGCGGAUCACUUGAAGUUGAGAGUUUGAGACCAGCCUGACCAACAUGGAGAAACCCUGUCUCUACUAAAAAUACAAAAUUAGCUGGGCAUGGUGGUGCAUGCCUGUAAUCCCAGGUAUUUGGGAGGCUGAGGCAGGAGAAUUGCUUCAACCCGGGAGGCAGAGGUUGUGGUGAGCCGAGAUAGCGUCAUUGCACUCCAGCCUGGGCAACAAGAGUGAAACUCCAUCAAAAAAAAAAAAAAAAAAAAAUUCCAGGUUAUACUAUAUCCUGAUCUAUAUUCUUAUACCAUUUUAAAUGUUUUUCCUUUUUGGUGAGACUAAGAAUUUCAGAAAACUAGGUUUUCUUUUUUGUUCUUUUUUUUCUCCACCUUAAGUAGGGUGAUUAGAGAUUAGGUUUUCAAGUGAAAAUCUAAGGAGUUGCUUUUGCUGUUUUAAGGAAGCUUCUGCACUGGGUGCAAUGGCUCACACCUGUAAUCCUAACACUUUGGGAGCCUAGGCAGGAAGAUCAUUUGAGCUCAGUUCGAGACAAGCCUGGGCAACAUAGGGAGACCCUGUCUCUACAAAAAAUGUAAAAAUUAGCUUGGCAUAGUGGUGCACAACUGUAGUCCCAGCUACUCAGGAGGCUGAGGUGGGAGAAUUGCUUGAGCCCAGGAGGUCGAGGCUGCAGUAAGCCAUGACCACACCACUAUACUCCGGCCUGAGCAACAGCAUGAGACCCUGUGUUUAAACAAAACAAAACAAAAACAAAAACACACCAAAGUUAAAAGCUUCUCUCUGAUUUAAAAGACCAGCCCGUCGAACAUGGUGACAUGCCACCUCUACUAAAAACACACACAAAAAAAUUAGCUGGGCAUGGUGGCACUUGCAUAUAAUCCCAGCUACUCUAGAGAGGCUGAGACAGGAGAAUCGCUUGAACCCGGGAGGCGGAGGUUGCGGUGUGCCAAGAUCGUGCCACUGCACUCCAGCCUGGGCAACAGAAUGAAAAUGAAACUCCGUCUCAAAAAAAAAGAUGUAGAACUAAAUAGGCCCGCUCAUUAGAAUAUCAAGAUGGCUCCAGCUUGACUUUUCUUUCCUAACUUAUAUGUACUAGUGGCUUUAUUUUAAAUAGUUUCCUUUAAAAAUCAUCAUUUUGACUAGCUAUAUUAUGUGUUUGGUGGUAAGGGAUAAGUUGUAUCUAUACCAUGCCAAAUAUCCUAAUAAAAACUGGAAAACAU